GACUUCCGCCUGCGCGCUUCCGGCACCCACAGUCGGGUUCCAGGUUCCACCGUGGCGCUCCAGAGCGCCGCGCUUCUCGGGCGCACCUCUUCUCUGCCCUCUGUCACCUCAUACCCGUCAGUCCGCUCAGGACUGAUGAACCAAGUACUUUCUGAUGGAGACCGAGUUGGUCGAUGAGGCAGAGCUCAGGGGUUACCUAGUUGGGGCCAGGGUAAGGGAACAAAUGGAAAGAGCGGUUCGUAAAUCUUUAAACAGCUCUUAGAGGUUAUUUGCAAGAAUAAUUCCUAAGCAUCGGAAAUGCUGGGACAUUCUUGUGUGGGAGAAGUGUGCACACAACAAACAUAUCUUUCAGAAAGUCGAAAUGAGAUAGAUGAGAGAGGGUAGUAAAUAUAAAGUAGCAAUGGCAGGUUGCAAUGAAGAUACCGGGGCUUAGUUAAGCAAAGCAGUCGUGUUAAGGAAGACUAUUACGGCAUUAUUACUCUUCGACAAGGUGCAUAGCUUUUCCCAUUGAUAAUGGGAAAUGGUUAUGUCUCUGUGUUAGUGCGCAAGCAUUAUGCUCAAGGAGGAGAAAAGUUUAGCAUAAAAAGCCCAUGGAGUUUUAGACUUCAACCGAAUUCUUCCCCAAGUGCAUCAUCUUAGAAUAUAAAACACAGUCCUGGAUGACUGUAACCCCCAAAUUCAAGAAAAGGCAAAUUCAGAAAAUAGCACCUACAGAAAGAACUACUGACAUACCUAAAAAGAGCUUUAACAUCAAAGGUAAUUUGUACUGGCUGAGCGUCCUGGCUUUGGAACAUUGUGAUCUAGCGAUGUGCCUCUGGGCAUGGGUUCAUCACUGGAGAAAUGAAAGUUAGAAGAGAAGACAAGGGUGCUCACCCUCUCAAAGAGUGGUAAAGAUUAAGUUAAAAAAUACUAUAUCACAAAAAAAUAGGUGAUAUAGUAGUUGUCCCAGGCGGUCCUGACCACUUUUAUAACAAAAGGAGGCGUGUCCAUCAGCGCACACCAUCUCAAAUACAUGCACAUACUGAACUUUGGGCUAAGUCAAGACAACGCCCUUUGUCGAAAAAGGAAGCAGCUGUCUCCAAAUAUAAAGAGGGCUGCAGGGGCCUGGUCUCUGCAUCUUCCAACUCUACAGCAGGGCCUGGAGAGACGAAGGCGAAGCAAACUAGAAGUGCUCGCUCGGCCCUGGUCGCCGGAGGACACAGGUUCUAGACCUGAAUUUAGGGUCGCAGACUUGCGGUGCUAACGCCUGAGGGUUCCCAGGGUUUCCCGCUCGCUUUCACAGACCACCACAAGCUUAAGACCGAGAAUCACUUCCCAGGAUGGCCUGGGAUACUCAGUGAUGAACCCACGGUGACCUGGUGCUUCCUGCCCCGAGACCUGACAGCCUCAACACUCUGGGUAAAGUAAAUUAAAAACCCGGACAACUGGAGUCUUUGAGAAUGAAAACGACAUCGGGAUUCCAGACAGCUGACUCGCUCAGAGCUCCAACUGGGUGUACGCACGGCGAGUAAAGCCAACUCCUACAACGACACGUCACCGUGCUGGGCCGCUUCUUGGCUGGUGGGCGGGGCGACCCCUACUUCCGGAUCCGGCCUCUUCUGGGUAACGCCUCACCUGCGGUUCCCUAGGUUACCUGAUGGCGGGAGGGGGCGGGGUGGGCGGGGGCGGGGCGAAGCUUUCCAACUCUGGGUAGCCAGCUCCUGGUUGGUGAGGCUCUUCCCGACUAGAUUAAAGGGAAAAACGCAACUUUUUUCAGACUACUGAUAACUCUGACUGGAGCAAAACCUGAGGAAUAUGUUUUUUUUCUAUGUUCCACACGGCAUUUGACAAUUCGGAGAAGCUGAGGAAAGAGAGGGCUUUUUUGUUUGUUUUUUUUUCCAACAGGGUAGAGAAACCUGGCUGUCCUGGAACUCACGCUGUAGACCAGGAUGGCCUCGAACUCAGUAAUCCACCUGCCUCUGCCUCCCAAGUGCUGGGAUUAAAGGCGUGCGCCACCACUGCCCAGCGAAAAGGGCUUCUUUGGUUUGGUUUGAUUUUUGUUUUGUUUUUUUUGUUAACCAUGGAUAUGGAUGACGAAAACGGUCAGAUGAGCAAUGAACAAUUCAAUAUACGCUGACCUUUAUACUCAAAAUGGUUAAGAUGAUAAAUUUUAUUAUGUAUGAUUUGCCACAGUUAAAAUCGAAAAUUCUCCCCCCCCCACACACACUUUUCUGCUGAAAUAAUUUAGAUGUCUGUUUUUCUGAAUUUCUCACACUAUAUGAAUGAGAUGGCCAGAUUUAACAAAUAUACAGGUACCCAUUAAUGUUUUAAUUUCAGAUGCUCAAUCAAAUAAUACACAGGAAAUACAAGUAUAUUACUUGGCCAUCCUACACAUGGGUGGAGGGUAAACUGAUAGGAAAGUGCCUUAUACUUGAAAAGAACGUGCAUUGAUUUUACUAGCUAUGUGCCUGUAAAUGAAAGAGUCUUUGAGAUUUUCUUUAGAAGGGGAAAAAAAAUCUAGAUCUUCAUUUCCUGAUAGUAUAUCAUCAAUGACAGGUCAGAAUAUCAUACCCAAAAUAUUCCAUUUGGGCAUAAAAGACAACACUGCGUUAAAGGCAGCAGAAAACUAGUGUGCACAAGAUGGUCCUCUUUUGUGUCUAAGCAGAAUAGAGAUUUGCCUUUAUAGAAGUAGGGGGAGAGCCUGCUGGGCGAGGCCUGCAACCCCAUCUCCUUGGGAGGUUGAGACAAGGAUCACAAGUUGAAGACCUGCCUAAGGUGCAGAUCCCUGAGUCUGAGAACAGCUUGGGAAACGUAAUGAAACUGUCUCAAGAAGUUUAAAAAAAAAGGAGGGAGUCUUAGUGUAUAGUGUUGACCUAGCAUGUGUUAGGUCCAUGAUUAUUUGAAUCAGAAGCACCCACCCCACCAACUAAAAAGACUUGAAACAAUACUAAAAUAUAUAUAUAUAUAUAUAUAUAUAUAUAUAUAUGAUAAACUGUAGCAAUCAACUCUAAUCUACCACACAUUUCCUCAUUGCUGCCCCACUGUACUGCCUGUGGAUCAAAACCUGUUUAAACUAGUCACCUCUAUACAAUGCAUGGCUGCUGUUAAAACAGGAAAUGUCCCUG
rnacentral:lncRNA from 1 species